GCCGUCAUCGUAUAGGGGUCAGUACAUCAGUUUGUGGCUAUCAAUGAAGCACUGAAAACGCAAGUUCGAGUCUUGCUGACGGCA
rfam:Fusarium fujikuroi IMI 58289 draft genome, chromosome FFTJ_chr06